CACCGAAAAGUGCGGCUUUUUUAAAAAAUAACGACGGCUAAAGCUCGGAAAAAACGGCCCGUUCGGUUGUGUAUUGUGAUAUUUGUAGUUUAUUUUAGACACACUUAACUAAGUACAUGUCAACACCCCCCUAAAAUGAAUUUUAAAGAUUUUAAACAGAAUAUUCACGUUUUGUUUUUAUUUAAAGUUGACUAUUUUAAAUACACACCUGUUACUUCACGAGGUACACAUGAACAGUCGAACGCAAAACCCCUUAAAAGGGCUAAAAUGUAUUUUAAAGAUUUUAAACAUACUAUUCAUGUUUUGUUUUUAUUUAAAGUUGACUAUUUUACAUGCACACCUGUUACUUCACUAGGUACACAUGAACAAUCGAACGGAAAAUCCCUUAAAAAGGGCUAAAAUGUAUUUUAAAGACUUUUUAAACACUAAGAUUAAGUUUUUUCUUUUUUAAAGAAAAAUAUUUUAAAUACACACCUGUUACUUCACUAGGUACACAUGAACAAUUGAACGCAAAACCCCCUUAAAAGGGCUAAAAUGUAUUUUAAAGACUUUUUAAACAGUAAGAUUAAGUUUUUUCUUUUUUAAAGAACACUGUUUUGAAUACAAACCUGUUAUUUCACUAGGUACACAUGAACAAUCGAACGCAAAACCCCCUUAAAGGGAUCAAAUGUAUUUUAAAAGACUUGAAAAAGAAAGAUUUAGUUUUUUUUAUUUAAAGUUCCCUAUUUUACAUACACACCUGUUACUUCACUAGGUACACAUGAACAAUUGAAUGCAAAACCCCCUUAAAAGGGCUAAAAUGUAUUUUAAAGAAUUUAAACCUAAUAUUCAUGUUUUGUUUUUAUUUAAAGUUGACUAUUUUACAUGCACACCUGUUACUUCACUAGGUACAUGUGAACAAUCGAACGGAAAAUCCCUUAAAAAGGGCUAAAAUGUAUUUUAAAGACUUUUUAAACACUAAGAUUGUUUUUUCUUUUUUAAAGAACACUAUUUUAAAUACACACCUCUUACUUCCCGAGGUACACAUGAACAAUUGAAUGCAAACCCCCCUUAAAAGGGCUAACAUGUAUUUUAAAGACUUUUUAAACAGUAAGAUUGAGUAUUUUCUUUUUUAAAAACACUGUUUUAAAUAUGAACCUGUUACUUCACUAGGUACACGUGAACAAUCGAACGCAAAACCCCUUUAAAGGGCUAAAAUGUAUUUUAAAGACUUUUUAAACAGUAAGAUUAAGUUUUUUCUUUUUGAAGAACACUGUUUUAAAUAUGAACCUGUUACUUCACUAGGUACACAUGAACAAUCGAAUGCAACACUCCUAAAAGGGAUAAAAUAUAUUUUAAAGACUUGAAACAGAAGGAUUCAGUUUUUUCUUACUUAAAUUUGACUAUUUUACAUGCACACCUGUUAUUUCACUCGGUACACGUGAACAAUUGAACGCAACAACCCCUAAAAGGGGUAAAAUGUAUUUUAAAGAUUUUAAACAGAACAUUCACGUUUUGUUUUUACUUAAAGUUGACUAUUUUACAAGCACACGUGUUACUUCACUAGGUACACAUGAACAAUUGAACGCGAAACCCCUUUAAAAGGACUAAAAUGUAUUUUAAAGACUUGAAACAGAAAGAGUCAGUUUUUUCUUACUUAAAGUUGACUAUUUUACAUGCACACCUGUUACUUCACUAGGUACACAUGAACAAGCGAAUGUUGCACCCCCUUAAAAGGGCUGCUUUUUAAAAAUGUCUGCUAAAACUCCGAAGACAGGAAGAAACGGCCCGUUCGGUUGUGUAUUGUGAUAUUUGUAGUUUAUUUUAGACACACUUAACUAAGUACACGUCAACACCCCCCUAAAAUGUAUUUUAAAGACUUGAAACAGAAGGAUUCAGUUUUUUCUUACUUAAAGUUGACUAUUUUAAAUACACACCUGUUAUUUCACUAGGUACAUGUGAACAAUCGAAUGCAAAACACCCUUAAAAGGGCUAAAAUUUAUUUUAAAGACUUUUUAAACAGUAAGAUUGAGUAUUUUCUUUUUUAAAAACACUGUUUUAAAUAUGAACCUGUUACUUCACUAGGUACACUUGAACAAUCGAACGGAAAAUCCCUUAAAAAGGGCUAAAAUGUAUUUUAAAGACUUUUUAAACACUAAGAUGAAGUUUUUUCUUUUUUAAAGAAAAAUAUUUUAAAUACACACCUGUUAUUUCACUAGGUACAGAUGAACAAUUGAACGCAAAACCUCCUUAAAAGGGCUAAAAUGUAUUUUAAAGACUUUUUAAACAGUAAGAUUAAGUUUUUUUCUUUUUGAAGAACACUGUUUUAAAUAUGAACCUGUUACUUCCCAACAUGAACAAUCGAAUGCAACACCCCCUAAAAGGGAUAAAAUGUAUUUUAAAAGACUUGAAAAAGAAAUAUUUAGUUAUUUCUUAUUUAAAGUUGACUAUUUUAAAUACACACCUGUUACUUCACUAGGUACACAUGAACAAUCGAACGCAAAACCCCUUUUAAAGGGCUAAAAUGUAUUUUAAAGAUUUUAAACUGAAUAUUCAUGUUUUCUUUUUAUUUAAAGUUGACUAUUUUUCAUGCACACCUGUUACUUCACUAGGUACACAUGAACAAUCGAACGCAAAACCCCUUAAAAGGGCUAAAAUGUAUUUUAAAGACUUUUUAAACACUAAGAUUAAGUUUUUUCUUUUUGAAGAACACUGUUUUAAAUAUGAACCUGUUACUUCACUAGGUACACAUGAACAAUUGAACAAAACACCGCCUACAAGUUUUAUAUUUUGUCCGAUUCGAUUGUGCAGGCGUGCCUAAUGAAGUGUCCGGUGAAGCCUAGGUGUGCCUAAUGAAGUGUCCGGUGCAGCCUAGGUGUGCCUAAUGAAGUGUCCGGUGCAGCCUAGGUGUGCCUAAUGAAGUGUCCGGUGCAGCGCAGGUGUGCCCAAAGAAGUGUCCGGUGCAGCACAGGUGCGCUUAAAGAAGUGUCAGGUGCAGCCUAGGUGUGCCUAAUGAAGUGUCCGGUGCAGCACAGGUGUGCCUAAUGAAGUGUCCGGUGCAGCCUAGGUGUGCCUAAUGAAUUGUCCGGUGCAGCUUAGGUGUGCCUAAUGAAGUGUCCGGUGCAGCUUAGGUGUGCCUAAAGAAGUGUCCGGUGCAGCACAGGUGUGAUUAAAGAAGUGUCCGGUGUGCCUAAAUAAGUGUCCGGUGCAGCCUAGGUGUGCCUAUUGAAGUGUCCGGUGCAGCUUAUGUGUGCCUAAUGAAGUGUCCAGUGUGCUUGAAGUGUCCGGUGCAGCACAGGUGUGCCUAAAGAAGUGUCCGGUGCAGCACAGGUGUGCCUAAAGAAGUGUCCGGUGCAGCACAGGUGUGCCUAAAGAAGUGUCCGGUGCAGCACAGGUGCGCUUAAAGAAGAGUCCGGUGUGCUUAAAAGAGUGUCCGGUGCAGCGCAGCAGGUGUGCUUAAAGUAGUGUUCCGUGCAGCCUAUGUGUGCCUAAAGAAGUGUCCGGUGUAACGCAGGUGUACCUAAAUAAGUGUCCCGUGCAUCCUAGGUGUGCCUAAUAAAGUGUCCGGUGCGAAUAAAGAGUGUCCGGUGCAGCGCGGGUGUGCCUAAUUAAGUGUCCGGUGCAGCGCAGGUGUGCCUAAAGAAGUGUCCGGUGCAGCGCAGGUGUGCCUAAUGAAGUGUCCGGUGCGCUUAAAGAGUGUCCGGUGCAGCGCAGGUGUGCCUAAAGAAGUGUCCGGUGCAGCCUAGGUGUGCCUAAUGAAGUGUCCGGUGCGCUUAAAGAGUGUCCGGUGCAGCACAGGUGUGCCUAAAGAAGUGUCCGGUGUAACGCAGGUGUACCUAAAUAAGUGUCCCGUGCAUCCUAGGUGUGCCUAAUAAAGUGUCCGGUGCGCUUAAAGAAGUGUCCGGUGCAGCGCGGGUGUGCCUAAUGAAGUGUCAGGUGCAGCGCAGGUGUGCCUAAAGAAGUGUCCGGUGCAGCACAGGUGUGCCUAAAGAAGUGUCCGGUGCAGCACAGGUGUGCCUAAUGAAGUGUCCGGUGCGCUUAAAGAGUGUCCGGUGCAGCACAGGUGUGCCUAAAGAAGUGUCCGGUGUAACGCAGGUGUACCCAAAUAAGUGUCCCGUGCAUCCUAGGUGUGCCUAAUGAAGUGUCCGGUGUGCCUAAUGAAGUGUCCGGUGCAGCACAGGUGUGCCUAAAGAAGUGUCCGGUGCAGCACAGGUGUACCCAAAUAAGUGUCCCGUGCAUCCUAGGUGUGCCUAAUGAAGUGUCCGGUGCAGCACAGGUGUGCCUAAAGAAGUGUCCGGUGCAGCGUGGGUGUGCCUAAUGAAGUGUCCGGUGCAGCACAGGUGUGCCUAAAGAAGUGUCCGGUGCAGCGUGGGU